AGUGAACGCUGGCGGUAGGCCUAACACAUGCAAGUCGAACGGCAGCACAGUAAGAGCUUGCUCUUACGGGUGGCGAGUGGCGGACGGGUGAGGAAUACAUCGGAAUCUACUUUUUCGUGGGGGAUAACGUAGGGAAACUUACGCUAAUACCGCAUACGACCUACGGGUGAAAGCAGGGGAUCUUCGGACCUUGCGCGAUUGAAUGAGCCGAUGUCGGAUUAGCUAGUUGGCGGGGUAAAGGCCCACCAAGGCGACGAUCCGUAGCUGGUCUGAGAGGAUGAUCAGCAACACUGGAACUGAGACACGGUCCAGACUCCUACGGGAGGCAGCAGUGGGGAAUAUUGGACAAUGGGCGCAAGCCUGAUCCAGCCAUACCGCGUGGGUGAAGAAGGCCUUCGGGUUGUAAAGCCCUUUUGUUGGGAAAGAAAAGCAGCAGGUUAAUACCCCGCUGUUCUGACGGUACCAAAAGAAUAAGCACCGGCUAACUUCGU
rnacentral:rRNA from 1 species